rnacentral:rRNA from 1 species
GGUUAAAAAGCUCGUAGUUGGAUCUCGGCAAGUAGAGGGCGGUAUGCUUCGUAGCAUUACUGCCCUAUUACUUGUAGUUUUGCCAGAGGUUCCUGGGUGCUCUUAAUCGAGUGUCUAGGGAUGCUGGCAGGUUUACUUUGAAAAAAUUAGAGUGCUCAAAGCAGGCUAUUACGCUUGAAUAUUCGUGCAUGGAAUAAUAGAAUAGGAAGUUGUUUCUAUUUUGUUGGUUUUCGGAAAUCGACUUAAUGAUUAAUAGGGACAGUCGGGGGCAUUUGUAUUCAAACGACAGAGGUGAAAUUCUUGGACCGUUUGAAGACAAACUACUGCGAAAGCAUUUGCCAAGAAUGUUUUCAUUAAUCAAGAACGAAAGUUAGAGGUUCGAAGGCGAUUAGAUACCGCCCUAGUUCUAACCAUAAACGAUGCCAGCUAGCGAUCUGAGGACGUUUUUUUUGUAGACUCCUCAGGAAGCUUCCGGGAAACCAAAGCGUGUGGGUUCCGGGGGAAGUAUGGUUGCAAAGCUGAAACUUAAAGGAAUUGACGGAAGGGCACCACCAGGAGUGGAGCCUGCGGCUUAAUUUGACUCAACACGGGAAAUCUCACCAGGCCCGGACACUGGAAGGAUUGACAGAUUGAGAGCUCCUUCUCGAU